rnacentral:rRNA from 1 species
GAUGAACGCUGGCGGCGUGCCUAAUACAUGCAAGUCGAGCGAACAGACGAGGAGCUUGCUCCUCUGACGUUAGCGGCGGACGGGUGAGUAACACGUGGAUAACCUACCUAUAAGACUGGGAUAACUUCGGGAAACCGGAGCUAAUACCGGAUAAUAUAUUGAACCGCAUGGUUCAAUAGUGAAAGACGGUUUCGCUGUCACUUAUAGAUGGAUCCGCGCCGCAUUAGCUAGUUGGUAAGGUAACGGCUUACCAAGGCAACGAUGCGUAGCCGACCUGAGAGGGUGAUCGGCCACACUGGAACUGAGACACGGUCCAGACUCCUACGGGAGGCAGCAGUGGGGAAUCUUCCGCAAUGGGCGAAAGCCUGACGGAGCAACGCCGCGUGAGUGAUGAAGGUCUUCGGAUCGUAAAACUCUGUUAUUAGGGAAGAACAAAUGUGUAAGUAACUAUGCACGUCUUGACGGUACCUAAUCAGAAAGCCACGGCUAACUACGUG